ensembl:lncRNA
CCUAAUUUCUGUGCUAGCAACACUUCACAAUUCUCAUUCUUGUGCCUGAAGUGGCCUUAACUUCAGCCCUGUUCCAGGUGUGGAUAUGGAAUUCAGACUGACCAAUCAGAUCACUGCCACACUGUUUGGAUCAAGGAUAAGCACUUGAUCUGCUUCAGGCAGAUCAGGAGACAAGAAGAUUAGAUUCCCAGGUUUUUCAUUGGAAACUUUUGAGGAAGGGGCACUUUUUUUCAGCUGGAAUUGCUCAGCGUGGGCUAUGAGUCUAGAGCUAUCCACAGCCAUCUGCCCACCCUAAGUGGAGAACCUACCAGCAAUAGAAACAACACAAAGGGAAGCAGAGCUGAGAGAUGGAAAGACUCCUAAGAAGGCCCAAAGACAGAAUUUAAACAGCAGAGCCAAUUAGGACCAAACUUUUCAGUCCUCCUUUCCUUAGGUAUGCUUGAUUUGGAUAACCAGCUCAACCUUCGUUCCCUUGGUACAGACCUGGAAAUCUCAUACAAUGCUUUGGUCAUCCUGCCUAUAUGCCCAACUGUGAUGGUUAAUUUUAUACGUCAACUUGACUGGGCCAAGGGGUGCUCAGAUAGUUGGUUAAACAUUGCUGGGUGUGUCUGUGAGGGUGUUUCUGGAAAAGAUUAUCAUUUGAAUUGGUGGACUGAGCAAAGCAGAUGGCCUUCCCCAGUGAGGAUGGGCAUCAUCCAAUCUGUUAAGGACCUGAAUAGAAGAAAAAGGUGGAGGAAGGUUGAAUUAACCCUGUCUGACUGGUGAGCUGGGACAUAAAUCUUCUCCUGCUCUUGGUGCUCCUGGUCUCAGGACUGUAGACCUGGACUGGAAUGUAUACCAUCGUGUCUCUGGCUUUGAACUAUACCUCCAGCUUUCCUGGGUCUCCAGCUUGCAGACAGCAGAUUUUGGGACUUUUCAGCUUCAUCAUCAGCCCUGCAACUUUCCCCCUGCUUCCUGCCUCUGUGUGCUGGCUCAAGCUGUGAGGUGAUUUCAUGGAUCUGGGCAGAACCUGAGACUUAGAGGAUAAAAUAAUAUCCCAAACUUCUUUUGGGGAAAUUAUCUCUCUUUAACGUGCAUGGAGACUUCAAACCAAAGUAAUCUGCCCACUCCUUGGCAAAUGGUAGACACCUGACUCAAGUCGGGAAAAUCUUUUUACCUCUUAAUCUGUUUUCUCUAUGAAGCAUCCCAGAAGAAUCAAAGAUUAUGUCCCUACAUCCCUAUUCUUGGCAAUCGUCUAAUUAGAACGUCACAACCUCUUGGUAGUGAUCUGAAUAAUCUUCUGGAUUACUUAUUGUGUACUACUAGGAUACUGUUGUAUUAAAAUAUGCAUAUCAGUGGAAUAUAAGUGUGCUGUUGGAAUUCUGAUCUACACAAAUCUGACUCUGCCCCUGCCUCUGAUGUGGGAAACCUCUUGAAAUUGGGUAGUCUACUGUUUUUGGUCACUAAGUUUCGAUAUGGUAAGAAUUUCAACUGUGGACUUUUUCCAGUCAUGGGACUUGGUUUCAUAAAUAUUUUAAAGGGAUUUUCACUCCAUCAUUGAUUUUAGAGGAUGGUUGGUAACGCUUCUUAUCCCAAGAAGACCUCCUCUCCUUGGUUCAGACUUCCCAGAUAUCACACUUAAGGUUAGAAUGAAAUCCAUGAACAAUGUGAAUUGAAGAUCUAUCCACUAGGCCAUAUUUUUCAGAAACUGAUAUUUUUACAAUACUUUUGAUAAACUAUACCAAUUAAUAAAAGUAACUGUAAGUUGGUUAUUUCUUAUGACUAAUACAAAUUCUUCAUGAUGCAGUAUUGUGUCAGCUCAAUAUUUUUCUCAAUAAAUAAAAAGUUAAAUCAAGGCAAUUUUUAAGCACAAGCUACAGUGAAUCAUGAAAUUGCUGGUUUGGUAGGACAAAAAUGAUUGUCUCAGUAGUUACAUAUGGUUCAUCCUAAUAUUAGCAACAACCUCAAGAUAAUUUUCUCUGUUCUUUUGCCUCCUAAGAGCUUCAACAUGUAUCUCAAAGCUCAUUCCCUCUUUGUAGAAGCUGCAUCUAAUUU